UGAGUAAACAGGGCUUUACAAUCUCUCCUCCCACAGGCUGGUUUACUAAAUAGAUCAAUAUUUGGUUUGUAGGCAUAGGGAUUAGGAGGUGGAAGUGUCUUUUGAAAAAGUCCUCUCUCUUCCCAGGGCCUCCAGUGCACCUGAGAAUGCUAGAAAGAAAAGCCAAGUUCAUGGACAAAAAAGAAAUAAGCCAAACUGCCUUCACCUGCCUGUAAUUUCCCAAGGAGCAGCUUGUCUUUAAGAACCCCAGGUAUUCGGAGAACGACACAUGGAUAAACAGGAACUAAGCUUCUGAAGAUCUCCCUCUGCCCCCCACCCCCACCAUCCUCCCUACCUCACUCUGGGAUUAGAAGCUCCACAAAGAAAGCACCCUAGGAGAAUUCUUUGUCAAACUAGAGUUUCCUUGGUGAUAGUUCGGAAAAGGAUGAUUUAGAUCUUGCCUCUCCUGUGUCUGGAGAUUGUGACCGAAACAUACAUAGGAGCAGAGAUCUUGAGCCUGAGCACUGGAAGCUGUGAGUUUAACCCUGGUGCUUCCUAUACUUUGUUAUGUGGCCCUGGACAAGUCCCUUGUGGCUAUAGCAUUGGAAUUGGGUGACAAAGACCUCCAGGACCUCUCCCAGGGAGACAUCGUGCAGCCUCAGACUGAGACAGGCUCAAAAGCUAGUCCUGACUUCAGAGCCCCCUAAACCACAGAGCCACAGGCAGGCUUGGCAGGCUGUGGCCGCAGGAGGUCCCAGGUUUGCCCUCGUGCCCUGAGCAAGGCUUUCUCGUCUCCCCUGUUCACCAGAAGUACCUGCCUUGCAACAGGAGGCACUGUCUUUGCUGGCGGAGCUCAGUCUCCCUGAAGGAGAAGUACCUUAAGGUUUAAGGCCCCUGGAAUACGUCAAAGCCCGUGUUUAUUUGCCAAUAAAUA